rnacentral:rRNA from 1 species
GUGGGGAAUCUUCCGCAAUGGACGAAAGUCUGACGGAGCAACGCCGCGUGAGUGAUGAAGGUCUUCGGAUUGUAAAGCUCUGUUAAUCGGGACGAAAGAGCCUAGUGUGAAUAAUGCUAGGAAGUGACGGUACCGGAAUAGAAAGCCACGGCUAACUACGUGCCAGCAGCCGCGGUAAUACGUAGGUGGCAAGCGUUGUCCGGAAUUAUUGGGCGUAAAGCGCGCGUAGGCGGAUCUGCCAGUCUGUCUUAAAAGUUCGGGGCUUAACCCCGUGAUGGGAUGGAAACUACAGAUCUAGAGUAUCGGAGAGGAAAGUGGAAUUCCUAGUGUAGCGGUGAAAUGCGUAGAUAUUAGGAAGAACACCAGUGGCGAAGGCGACUUUCUGGACGAAAACUGACGCUGAGGCGCGAAAGCCAGGGGAGCGAACGGGAUUAGAAACCCGUGUAGUCC